CCUACGGGUGGCAGCAGUGGGGGAUAUUGCACAAUGGGGGAAACCCUGAUGCAGCGACACCGCGUGGGUGAAGAAGCGCUUCGGCGUGGAAAGCCCUAUCAGUCGGGAAGAAAAAGGACGGUACCCAAAGAAGAAGCACCGGCUAAAUACGUACCAGCAGCCGCGGUAAUACGUAGGGUGCAAGCGUUAUCCGGAAUGACUGGGUGUAAAGGGAUCGUAUAGGGUUGUAUAAGUCUGAGGUGAAAGCCCACGGCUCAACUGUGGGAGUGCAUUGGAAACUGUAGAACUAGAGUAUCGGAGAGGCAAGCGGAAGUCGUGGUGUAGCGGUGAAAUGCGUAGAUAUUAGGAGGAACACCAGUGGCGAAGGCGGCUUGCUGGACGAACACUGACGUUGAGGCUCGAAAGCGUGGGGAGCAAACAGGAUUAGAUACCCUAGUAGUC
rnacentral:rRNA from 1 species